UAUAUGGUUUAAGUAAGUUAUGGUGGACAAUUUUUGGCUUAUGUUUUAGAGUUUUUCUGAUUUUGUAUAUAACAUCAUUUACUCUUUUAACAAUAAGGUAGGGACCAGUCCAUGGUCUACAUAACUUUUUUCCAUGUUUCUCAUAUUUUGGAGAGUAAAACCAAACUGCAUCACCCACUUGAUACAAGUGUUGAUGAAUUUUUUUGCUAUAUUCUCUGAUCAUGUGUUUGGUAGAUGAUUGAAGUUGAUUACGGGCGUGGUUAUGAAUAAUUUGUAAUUUGCUUGCUAAUUCAUUUGCAAAUUCAGAUCCAUACUUUUGCUUUUGUGUUUCAGGGUCUGGGACACCAAGCACCAGAUCAAUGGGUAGAUGGGUUGGUCUACCAAAGACCAUUUCAUUUGGGCUAACCUUUGUAGAUUCGUGGACGGACGAUCUAUAUGCCAUCAUUAAAAGGGUGUUUGCAGUCAAGGGGACAGGGUCUCAUAGAGAGGGCAUCAGCAUUGCUGUGAGAUCUGCCGGCUCUAUGCUCCACUUUAAAUUCGUAUUGUGACAAUAAUUCGAACCAACGAGCAAUUUGGCCUUCUGGGUUUUUAAAGUUUAGGAGCCAGAGGAUGGGGUUGGCCAAUUUUGAACUGAUUCAAUUUUGGAUGGGUCUGUUGCGACUCCAUUUUCAUCAACAAUAUGUCCUAAGAAUGAAACUUGUUUCUGAAGUAGGUAACACUUUUUGGGGUUCAUUUUUAGGUUUGCCCCUUUUAGUCUAUCGAAAACUUGUUUCAGAUUUAUGAUGUGUUCAUCAAAUGUCUGGGAAAGAAUGAUUAUAUCAUCUAAAUAGACCAUACAUAUU